AGCUAUAUAUGGAGUUACAAAAGAAAGAGAAGCUCCAAGGUCUAGUAAAGCAUAAAUAUAUAAGUGAAAGACCUGUAACAUACCGUAACUAUGUUAGGAUAAUUUUCCUGACCUUGGUAGGAAUGAAGGGCAUAUGAUCUGAUUGGACGCUGAAAACUGGUAGCAUUAGAAGCGGCAUCCUUCUGAGUUAGGUGACCAGAUGGAAAAAAUAACUGACGAGACUAGCUAUGUUGGCAUAAAUCC
rnacentral:lncRNA from 1 species